UGCUCAGGAGAGAGAACACACAGGUUCAUCCAACCCUGCUUGGUCUUAACGCUUCCCUUCAGAAUGGGGCCACGCGUAAUCCAGAGUGCAGGGCAUCAGCCUAUAGAGGGCGCUCUUAAGCAUCAUAGCCAGAUGUAAAAAAGCAAAAUUCCUGUGUUUGCUUAAAGAGGAAACAUCUUUAAGAAGUGAAAGCUGAAGAAUGGGGCCUAAGAUCAAACUUCAAGGUAUUGGCGGCUCUAAAUACCUGCCAUCAAAGUAACGCAACAGAAUGAUAAUUUGGAGAGAGGUAGACAAAGACAUAUGACAGCAUGUGAAGAUGAAGGCAGAGAUCCACAAGCCAAGGAACAACAAAGAUUGCCAGUAAACCACCAAGAGCUAGGGGAGAGGUCUACAAGAGAUUCUCCCUCACCUCCCUCAGAAGAACCCAUCCUGCCAACGCCUUGACCUUGGACUUCUAGCCUCCACAACUGUGAUGCAAACCAUGUCUGGUGUGACAACAAUUUGAAAAGCGCCACCCAUCCUCUCUGAGACCACAAACAGCACCGGAGGCAGUGAACCAAGACUUACAAACAAGGGUGUAGACCAAAGAACACGCGGGGCCAGAGGAGGAGAAAGCAAGAAGAUAGAAGCACCAUAGUUUGAAGAGGGAGGGGAGCAGAAAGCCGCUAGCUCUAUAAAAAACAAGAAGCAAAACCCAGAACUCAAACCUCAUGAAAGUAUCACGAGGUUGAAGCCUUUAAGAGGUGUUUUUACAGCAGAUUUUAGAGACUUCUCACCUUACCAACGGUUAUAAACCCGAAUCCUUGCAAAGUCAGCAGUAGAGUCAUUAGAUUGCUCCCCGUCUACGCAUAUGAAGGGUAUCAGGGCUUUCCAGGACUUUAGGGUCAGGUUUUGUGAAAUAGGUAGGUUGGGCCAACUUUCUGGGGGCUCUAAGCAACCUUGGAGAAAACGGGCAGGAGUAAAUAAAGGUAUGCCAGUGUGCUUUUUCCAGGGGGGACUUGGCAAGUGCCAAAAACAGUAUAAAUAUUAGAUUCCCAUCUUCUAAUAUGGAAAUCGGUGGUGGCGAUGGGGCGAAGGGCUCACUAGCCACCCUGAGGCGAAGAAGCAGCCCCUCAGAGAUCCAAAGCUGGUUAGCAAGAGUUCACCAGGGCCUAGCUCCUUGUCCCUCAGGGAAAGCCCCUGGGUGCCACAGCCCACCCCCUGGAAAGGGCAGACCCUGGAGAAAUGUUAGAAUUCUGGGUGAAUUAUUUUCUUACGAGAUUUCAUCCAAAGUUUUAACAAAGUACCAAAUAGGAGAGUUGUUAAGUAUUGUGAGUGAGUGAGGUGGAGGAAGCAGAGCGGGGAAGGGGUGGCUCCUCUCUCACUAUAUUCACUGCUUAUCCUAGAGAUGACCUAAUGUCAAAAACAUUGCAAAUGCAACCAGCUGCCUGUUGCAUCCACGUAGUUCAGUUGUUGCUAUUUACAGGGCAGUAAAAAUACCUGGUGCUACUAUGAACCAGGGUGCUGAGUAUCCAGUGUUCCUGGAAGAGCACCUAGUAGUGUUUCUUUCAUUGGAUGGUAUCUAAUUAAAACUUUAUGCAAAAGUAAUAAGGUAUUGCUGAUUAUAGGUAUUAUCUGAUAAUAAUUAUUAUCAGAUAAUAUAUUAUAAAAAUAUAUUGUUAUCUGAUAAUAAUAAUCCUGUCAAGUACUUGUUUGGGCCAGAUUACUCUGUGAAGGCAGAAAGUUGGCAAUGCUUAUCUUAAAUGGAAGAUUCUUUCUCUUUUCUUCCUCCCUCACUCCCUCCUAUUCAACAAUCUUUUCUUCAUCCUGGGAAAAAUGUGGGUUCUGCAUUCACUCUUGCACAAUCCUGGAAUCUCAUGGCUUAGCUUAUGAUGACAACAUUAAUGUCAAUAAAGGCACAUUUUCCCUAAGA